ACGUCUUAGGGCACUCUGACCGGGGAACACGAGGGGCCGCGCGCUGGCCGGAUUUGCGUCUGGGACACCGGCACUCUUGACACGCUGCUAACCACCGCAUGAAUUACCGUAGCGUAGCGCGGGGGAUGCCGGGGGGCCCUCUAGUAGCCGGCUGUGUUGCCUGGGGCGAGGUGGCAACGCUGGGAUCUAGUUCUCCCUGAUGGGCGACUCAAAUUCGUAUAGUUAUUCGCCUCCUUNCCUUUUUGAGAAGUUUAUGGGGUUACACAAUAGAAUCCUACUGCGAAGCUGGCGCUGGGGUCCAGUCCGCCCUGAUGGGCGACUCAAAUU
rnacentral:rRNA from 1 species